UCCGUCGCGGCCCCAGCUCGCGCAUCUCCUCCGUAGUGAGCGAGUGAGGCCUCUGGACCGACCCUCUGAAUGUCGUCCUCAGUGAUGACGCUCUCGACGCGACCCCAGGUCAGGCGGGACUACCCGCUGAGUUUAAGCAUAUCAAUAAGC
rnacentral:rRNA from 1 species